rnacentral:rRNA from 1 species
AGUGAACGCUGGCGGUAGGCCUAACACAUGCAAGUCGAACGGCAGCACAGUAGGAGCUUGCUCUUACGGGUGGCGAGUGGCGGACGGGUGAGGAAUACAUCGGAAUCUACUUUUUCGUGGGGGAUAACGUAGGGAAACUUACGCUAAUACCGCAUACGACCUACGGGUGAAAGCAGGGGAUCUUCGGACCUUGCGCGAUUGAAUGAGCCGAUGUCGGAUUUGCUAGUUGGCGGGGUAAAGGCCCACCAAGGCGACGAUCCGUAGCUGGUCUGAGAGGAUGAUCAGCCACACUGGAACUGAGACACGGUCCAGACUCCUACGGGAGGCAGCAGUGGGGAAUAUUGGACAAUGGGCGCAAGCCUGAUCCAGCCAUACCGCGUGGGUGAAGAAGGCCUUCGGGUUGUAAAGCCCUUUUGUUGGGAAAGAAAAGCAGCAGGUUAAUACCCCGCUGUUCUGACGGUACCCAAAGAAUAAGCACCGGCUAACUUCGUG